AUGUACAUGCCUACAUCAUAACAUUAAUGCACCGGAUCCAAUUAGAAAUCCAUUGUUAAGUGUGCUCGGGCUAGAGUAGUAUUGAUAUGGGUGACCUCCCUGAAAGUCCUAGUGUUUUACAUG
rfam:Picea glauca, whole genome shotgun sequence.